GGCUGAAUGUCCGAGCGGUCUAAGGAGCGCGACUCAAGGCCGACUCACCUCACGCCUUCCACAAAAUAAUGUGAGAUCAUUCGCGUGUGCUAUGCACUCGUGGGUUCGAACCCCACUUCAGCCA
rnacentral:tRNA from 1 species